AGAGUUUGAUCCUGGCUCAGGAUGAACGCUAGCUACAGGCUUAACACAUGCAAGUCGAGGGGCAGCAUUUUAGUUUGCUUGCAAACUGAAGAUGGCGACCGGCGCACGGGUGAGUAACACGUAUCCAACCUGCCGAUAACUCCGGAAUAGCCUUUCGAAAGAAAGAUUAAUACCGGAUAGCAUACGAAUAUCGCAUGAUAUUUUUAUUAAAGAAUUUCGGUUAUCGAUGGGGAUGCGUUCCAUUAGUUUGUUGGCGGGGUAACGGCCCACCAAGACUACGAUGGAUAGGGGUUCUGAGAGGAAGGUCCCCCACAUUGGAACUGAGACACGGUCCAAACUCCUACGGGAGGCAGCAGUGAGGAAUAUUGGUCAAUGGGCGAGAGCCUGAACCAGCCAAGUAGCGUGAAGGAUGAAGGCUCUAUGGGUCGUAAACUUCUUUUAUAUGGGAAUAAAGUUUUCCACGUGUGGAAUUUUGUAUGUACCAUAUGAAUAAGGAUCGGCUAACUCCGUGCCAGCAGCCGCGGUAAUACGGAGGAUCCGAGCGUUAUCCGGAUUUAUUGGGUUUAAAGGGAGCGUAGGUGGAUUGUUAAGUCAGUUGUGAAAGUUUGCGGCUCAACCGUAAAAUUGCAGUUGAAACUGGCAGUCUUGAGUACAGUAGAGGUGGGCGGAAUUCGUGGUGUAGCGGUGAAAUGCUUAGAUAUCACGAAGAACUCCGAUUGCGAAGGCAGCUCACUAGACUGUCACUGACACUGAUGCUCGAAAGUGUGGGUAUCAAACAGGAUUAGAUACCCUGGUAGUCCACACAGUAAACGAUGAAUACUCGCUGUUUGCGAUAUACAGUAAGCGGCCAAGCGAAAGCAUUAAGUAUUCCACCUGGGGAGUACGCCGGCAACGGUGAAACUCAAAGGAAUUGACGGGGGCCCGCACAAGCGGAGGAACAUGUGGUUUAAUUCGAUGAUACGCGAGGAACCUUACCCGGGCUUAAAUUGCAACAGAAUAUAUUGGAAACAGUAUAGCCGUAAGGCUGUUGUGAAGGUGCUGCAUGGUUGUCGUCAGCUCGUGCCGUGAGGUGUCGGCUUAAGUGCCAUAACGAGCGCAACCCUUAUCUUUAGUUACUAACAGGUUAUGCUGAGGACUCUAGAGAGACUGCCGUCGUAAGAUGUGAGGAAGGUGGGGAUGACGUCAAAUCAGCACGGCCCUUACGUCCGGGGCUACACACGUGUUACAAUGGGGGGUACAGAAGGCAGCUACACGGCGACGUGAUGCUAAUCCCAAAAACCUCUCUCAGUUCGGAUCGAAGUCUGCAACCCGACUUCGUGAAGCUGGAUUCGCUAGUAAUCGCGCAUCAGCCAUGGCGCGGUGAAUACGUUCCCGGGCCUUGUACACACCGCCCGUCAAGCCAUGAAAGCCGGGGGUACCUGAAGUACGUAACCGCAAGGAGCGUCCUAGGGUAAAACUGGUAAUUGGGGCUAAGUCGUAACAAGGUAGCCGUACCGGAAGGUGCGGCUGGAACACCU
rnacentral:rRNA from 1 species